GCGGCGGUAGCUCAGUGGAUAGAGCAUCAGUCUUCGGAACUGAGGGUCGGGGGUUCGAGUCCCUCCCGCCGCG
rnacentral:tRNA from 2 species